AUCUUUGCGCAGAGGCAGUAUCGUAGCCAAUGAGGUUUAUCCGAGGCGCGAUUAUUGCUAGUUGAAAACUUAUCCCAAUACCCC
rnacentral:snRNA from 1 species